rnacentral:rRNA from 1 species
UACGUAGGGUGCGAGCGUUGUCCGGAAUUACUGGGCGUAAAGAGCUCGUAGGUGGUUUGUCGCGUUGUCCGUGAAAACUCACAGCUCAACUGUGGGCGUGCGGGCGAUACGGGCAGACUGGAGUACUGCAGGGGAGACUGGAAUUCCUGGUGUAGCGGUGGGAAUGCGCAGAUAUCAGGAGGAACACCGGUGGCGAAGGCGGGUCUCUGGGCAGUAACUGACGCUGAGGAGCGAAAGCGUGGGGAGCAAACAGG